rnacentral:rRNA from 1 species
AGAAUCAACGCUGGCGGCGUGCCUAACACAUGCAAGUCGAACGAGAAAGUGGAGCAAUCCAUGAGUAAAGUGGCGCACGGGUGAGUAACACGUGACUAACCUACCCUUGAGUGGGGGAUAACCUAGAGAAAUCUGGGCUAAUACCGCAUAAUACCUUCGGGUCAGAGGAGCAAUUCGCUUAAGGAGGGGGUCGCGGCCGAUUAGUUAGUUGGCGGGGUAAUGGCCCACAAGACUAUGAUCGGUA